CUGGUAGUCCACGCCCUAAACGAUGUCAACUGGUUGUUGGGGGAGUGAAAUCCCUUAGUAACGAAGCUAACGCGUGAAGUUGACCGCCUGGGGAGUACGGUCGCAAGAUUAAAACUCAAAGGAAUUGACGGGGACCCGCACAAGCGGUGGAUGAUGUGGAUUAAUUCGAUGCAACGCGAAAAACCUUACCUACCCUUGACAUGUCCAGAAUCCUGCAGAGAUGCGGGAGUGCCCGAAAGGGAAUUGGAACACAGGUGCUGCAUGGCUGUCGUCAGCUCGUGUCGUGAGAUGUUGGGUUAAGUCCCGCAACGAGCGCAACCCUUAUCAUUAGUUGCUACGCAAGGGCACUCUAAUGAGACUGCCGGUGACAAACCGGAAGAAGGUGGGGAUGACGUCAAGUCCUCAUGGCCCUUAUGGGUAGGGCUUCACACGUCAUACAAUGGUCGGUACAGAGGGUUGCCAAGCCGCGAGGUGGAGCCAAUCCCAGAAAGCCGAUCGUAGUCCGGAUUGUUCUCUGCAACUCGAGAGCAUUAAGUCGGAAUCGCUAGUAAUC
rnacentral:rRNA from 1 species